UCUUCUUCCUGGUGACAGUGAAUUUUGAAUCGCGGUGUGAGGAAGAUUUUAGCUUGCCUUUGGCCCUCUGUUCUCGUGUGGAGGGUUCAACAUUCGAACACGCGGAGAGCUGUUUUUCCCAAGCUGGGCCAAGCCCUUCCAACUUCUGCCAAAGCGCUCUCGCCAGCCGGAGAUCACACAAGAAUCAUGCUAAGUGUGCCUGGCAAGAUGAGGCUUCUCUCAACUAUUUUCUUGGUGGUGAUCCUAAACGUGUUCACUGGUGAAGUUUCUGCCAAUAACCAGAGUACCGCAGAGCUGAGUGGGAAUACCUUUUGCCCAGCAUCAUCGGCCAUAACUAGUGUAUCAAUCCCUUCAAGCCUCUACUUGAAUUACACUUCAGCAAAAGCACUGU